CUGCGGGUGUGCUCUGCGCUCUGGCUGUCCUCUGCUCCGUCGUGGUCGGCCGGCGGAAUCGGUGGCGCCGUGGUCAGCCGGCUGAAUCGGCGAAGUGGUGCUCCAGCAAGAUCUAUUUGCUGUUAUGCUCGGAGCUGCCAUCUCCGUCGUCCUCGGAUCCGGUUGUCUCCUGGCUAACAGCGGGAAGCACGGCGUACAACAUGUCCUUGUCAGAGGACCGGCAGGCUAAUGAGCUCUUUAGAAAGAAGCUAGAGAUGUUUUGCAGUGGUCCAUACCGGAGCUCUUGUUCCCAUUGACGGCUCCUCCGCUCGCAGAGGUGUCAGUGCCCUUAUUACGGUGACUCCAACAGCAGAUCUUUCGUUCUGGACAUCAGCUCCCCGGACAAUUCUCCCUGGUACUGCUUCCGAACGGACCAACUGGUUAUCACAAAGUGUGGUAGGUAAUGCUAGUGACAGUUUAGGGAAAACGAUGUGAUUCUGGUUAUAUUGGUCAGAUGUGUUCUUUCCUGGGGAAGCAAUCAGUAUCGAUUGAUUGUAAGUAAACUGUAAUAAGUGGCUCUAAAAGUCCCCUUUUGGAACGCCUUGAUGGAAAACGAGUGUAAAUUGUUCUGUUUUCACACUCGUGAUUAUGUUUGCCGAUAUCAUUAUGAUAUUUUUCCGUACAACUAAUUAAAUUAUGCUGCUAUGUGAAUGUAUGGUGAUAUGAU